rnacentral:lncRNA from 1 species
UUGGAAGGGUGUCAAGAAAGACUUAGAAAUCUGGGAGAGAUUGAAACUUUCUUUCUUAGGGAGGAUCUCGGUUAUUAAAAUGAAUGUCCUGCCCAGAAUGUUAUUUUUGUUCCAAACUAUACCAGUAAUGAAAGGACUAAAACAGUGUAAAGAUUGGCAAAGGAUCUUAGCGAGAUUUAUCUGGCAGGGGAAAAGACCACGAAUAAAAAUGAAAAUAUUGGUAGACAAAAAGAAAGAGGGGGUUUUUCUUUACCAGAUUUGAGUCUAUACUAUGAAGCGGCUUGUUUAAUGUGGGUGAAAGACUGGAUAAAGUUAGAGAAUACUGAUAUCUUGGAUUUAGAGGGCUUUGAUAACAGGUACGGGUGGCACUCGUACCUGUGGUACGAAAAGGUGAAAGUUCAUAGAGGCUUUCUAAAUCAUAUAAUCAGAGGAUCAUUAUUUCAAGUAUGGGAAAGAAAUAAGAACUUGCUGGAAAAGAAAACUCCAUGGUGGAUCUCACCAAUUGAUGUCUUAACUGUUAAAAAACUAAUAUGGAAGGGAAAAGAGCCACCUAUGAAGAACUUAUCAAUAAAACUGAUCAGGGCAUAAAACUCAAGCCCUAUGAGGAGGUAAAGAAUGUACUUACGGGAUGGUUGCAAUACCAUCAAGUGAAUGAUCUGUUAAAAGAUGAUAAAAAGAAACUGGGAUUUGAAGAUAAAAAUCUAAAUUUAAUGUAGAAAUUAUUGAAGGCAAAAACAAAACAUUAUCUAGGAUGUAUGACCUUUUACUGGAUUGGUAUACAAAAGAUGAAGAGGUGAAGGAGGCUAUGAUAAAAUGGGCCAUAGACAUUGGUUACAACAUUGACUUUGUAAAGUGGCAGGAAUUGUGGAAUGUAAAUAUGAAAUUCACGGCGUGUACGGCAUUAAGGGAGAAUCUCUGGAAGAUGAUUCAUAGGUGGUAUCUCACACCAGUGAAAUUGGCUAAGAUUUACAAACUGAAGAAUAAGAAGUGCUGGAAAUGUGGAGAGGAAGAUGGUGAGUUCUACCACAUGUGGUGGACAUGCAGGAAAGUAAAAGGCUUUUGGGAACUGAUCUACAAUGAGCUUAAAAGGAUUUUUAAAUAUACUUUUCCCAAAAAGCCUGAAGCUUUCCUGCUAGGAAUAGUUGGCAAGGAAAUUAAAAAAGAGGAUAAAAAUCUGUUUCUAUAUGCCACAACGGCCGCUAGAAAUAUGUUGGCCCAAAGCUGGAAAACAGAAUUAAUACCUACUAUAGACGACUGGCAGAACAAGAUGAUAAAUUAUGUUGAACUAGCUAGAAUAACAGGAAGACUAAGAGACCAGGAUGACCAGAAGUUUCAUGAAAAUUGGAAUAAAUAUCUGACGUAUAUAAGAGAUAAGUAUAGAACUUUGAGGACUCUGGCAGGGUUAGAAUAACUCUAACAGUGUUUGGCAAAUAUGUAAAGGAGAUAAAACAUGUAACUUUAGAAAUUAUCUGAUACUUAUCAAUAAAGUGAAGGGAAGUCCGAGGCUCGGCGGAGCCUAUAAAUAAUUGUGUACUAUAUAUAUGAUUUUUGUAACAGCUAUGUUAUAUGCAACUUAUGUAAUCUAGACUGUAUAUAUGUAUAAUCAAUGAAAAUUAAUAAAAAUGUAU